UGGACAAAUUAUUGUAUCGACUGUAUUCAUGGCGUGAAAUAGGGGAUUACGCUAUUUUUAAAACGGAAAGUGAAUCAAUUAACAUAAUAGACUCCU
rnacentral:pre_miRNA from 1 species